rnacentral:rRNA from 1 species
ACGCGAGGAACCUUACCCGGGCUUGAACUGCAGCGGACGGAUACAGAGAUGUUGACUCCCUUCGGGGCCGCUGUGGAGGUGCUGCAUGGUUGUCGUCAGCUCGUGCCGUGAGGUGUCGGCUUAAGUGCCAUAACGAGCGCAACCCUUGCUGUCAGUUGCCAUCAGGUCGAGCUGGGCACGGGCCUGGCACUGCCACCGUAAGGUGUGAGGAAGGUGGGGAUGACGUCAAAUCAGCACGGCCCUUACGUCCGGGGCUACACACGUGUUACAAUGGGGAGUACAGAGAGUAAGCCGCCGGCAACGUCGGUUCAAUCAUGAAAGCUCUCCUCAGUUCGGAUUGGGGUCUGCAACCCGACCCCAUGAAGCUGGAUUCGCUAGUAAUCGCGCAUCAGCCAUGGCGCGGUGAAUACGUUCCCGGGUCUUGUACACACCGA